rnacentral:rRNA from 1 species
UACGAAGGGGGCUAGCGUUGCUCGGAAUCACUGGGCGUAAAGCGCACGUAGGCGGAUCGCUAAGUCAGGGGUGAAAUCCUGGAGCUCAACUCCAGAACUGCCUUUGAUACUGGCGAUCUCGAGUCCGGGAGAGGUGAGUGGAACUGCGAGUGUAGAGGUGAAAUUCGUAGAUAUUCGCAAGAACACCAGUGGCGAAGGCGGCUCACUGGCCCGAUACUGACGCUGAGGCACGAAAGCGUGGGGAGCAAACAGG